GACGGAGGAUGCAAGCGUUAUCCGGAAUUAUUGGGCGUAAAGCGUCCGCAGGUGGCUGUUCAAGUCUGCUGUCAAAGCGCAGAGCUUAACUCUGUACAGGCGGUGGAAACUAAAGAGCUAGAGUAUGGUAGGGGUAGAGGGAAUUCCCGGUGUAGCGGUGAAAUGCGUAGAUAUCGGGAAGAACACCAGUGGCGAAAGCGCUCUACUGGGCCAUAACUGACACUGAGGGACGAAAGCUAGGGGAGCGAAAGGG
rnacentral:rRNA from 1 species